rnacentral:ribozyme from 13 species
GUAAAAAAGUUUCCUAAAUCAGUUGGUUUUUCUUCUUGUUCUUGUUGUUCUUUUUGUUCUUGUGGUUGUUGUUGUGGUUUCUCUUCAGCGAAACGAGGGAGGUUCUUUAGGUGGGUGAGUACUUCUUCUCCGUCUCCGGAGAGAAGAGAGGCUCGAGAUUCAAGAAGAGUAAUGAUUUGUGACAUUUUUGAAGGAGUAAAAGAAGAAGAAGAAG